rnacentral:tRNA from 1 species
GCGCCCGUAGCUCAGCAGGAUAGAGCAACAGUUUCCUAAACUGUAGGUCGUACGUUCGAAUCGUAUCGGGCGCGUCA